rnacentral:rRNA from 1 species
UACGGAAGGUCCGGGCGUUAUCCGGAUUUAUUGGGUUUAAAGGGAGCGUAGGCCGGAGAUUAAGCGUGUUGUGAAAUGUAGAUGCUCAACAUCUGCACUGCAGCGCGAACUGGUUUCCUUGAGUACGCACAAAGUGGGCGGAAUUCGUGGUGUAGCGGUGAAAUGCUUAGAUAUCACGAAGAACUCCGAUUGCGAAGGCAGCUCACUGGAGCGCAACUGACGCUGAAGCUCGAAAGUGCGGGUAUCGAACAGGAUUAGAAACCCCGGUAGUGCUGACUGACU